GAGUGUGAUUUGGGUUCAAUUGGAUAACGAUUGCUGCAAGUGAGUUUGAUUUUCUCUUCUUCUUUUUUAGGGUAAAUUGGCUAGCUGUGUUUGAAAAUUUGUGUGGAGUUAUUACAGCUGUGUUUGUGAGAUUUCUUCAUAGAGUUGAAAAGUAAGAAUGUGAAGAGGAGUGAGAUAUAUAUGAAACUUUUGGUUGUUUUAUUUUUUUAUUUUUUAGAGAGGGUCUCUUGAUUGUAUAUCUGCUUUGACAUGUAUGUUCCUGUUGCAUUUUAUGUUGUGCUUUUCUUCCAGCUGCUUGUGUUUUUCUUGGAAGAAUAUGAAAGAGAGUGAAUCAUACAUGUUUGCUUCAAAAUGUACAAAUUUGAAACUGAAAUAUCUGAAGGGAAUGUGAAAACAUGAGUAGAGCGUCGCCUAGUAUUGAUUUGAAACUGAGUUUGAUCAGAAACAUGCUGAAAUGAAUUUUGAGUAGCACUAUCAAAAGGAAAGUUUCAUCUUUCCGUCAUGCUGGAGUAGUUUAGAAUUUAAAGUCGUUUCCUUGUGCAAGAAAAACCAGCCUUCGUCAUUUCAGACAUAGGAAAGUAAAUGGUUUUUUAUCCACAUGAUUAGGACUUUCUAGUGUCAAAUAUUGAACCAAAGCUGAUACAAAAUUGUAUUUGCACCUAAUUUGGUGAAAAUGUUCUUUUCUUUUCUGGUUGUCUUCUUUCUUAUGGACGUAAUACAAUUUUUUGUUAUGUUUGAAGAGCAGGACCAAUAAUAUCAUGCAAAGUAAUAGUAACUACUGUAGCCUCUUCCGUUUCAAUCAUAGUUGAGUAAUUGGUGAUUAUUUCUCUGUUUUGGUGGUAAACAAAUGCCUCGAUACAAAGAUCUCCCGCUGUUCGUGUUUACACAGUCUGUGACGAAUCAAGGUAUUUGA
rnacentral:lncRNA from 1 species